AGAUGCUGUAAUUGGAGGCCCUCGAAGAGUCAUUUUACUUCAUAUAAAAAACGCCAUUCUAGAGAGUGCGGGCUUUUUUAAGGCAUUAGUACAGUCUUUUUCUCACUUUUGGCAUCAACAACGGCUACUUCCUCACUGGCUGCAUCAACAACGGCUACUUCCUCACUGGCUGCAUCAACAACGGCUACUUCCUCACUGGCUGCAUCAACAACGGCUACUUCCUCACUGGCUGCAUCAACAACGGCUACUUCCUCACUGGCAUCAUCGCAUCUAAACCAAGAAAGAAAAUUAAAAUACUUUUUGUUUAAAAACGACAAUACCUCCUUUAAACACCUUAUAGAGCGAUUGUUUAUCUUCUUUUUUAAAAUUAAUGAAUGUUAGAUUUAAAAACGUUGGAAUAAUUUUCACCCCGCCAUUUCACCCUCUCCCGGUUAAUCCUGGUUAAGCGACUCUAUAGAACUACUACACUCUAUAAUAUUCCAAUGAUAGGCCUUCAGAUGUAGACUAAGAAAACGAUGCGCGAAUUUUUCCACAACAUUAAGUUAUACUCGUGAAUCAAUAAUUCCUUACGUUAAAAAAUUCGCGAUAGCUUUUUAUUUUUUUAAAUCGAUGUUGGAACUAUCGUCUAGCUCUAGGCCUAGGUCUAGUUCUCUAGCCGAAUAUUUCAUUUUUUUUACUUAAAAAACAAUAAUGGUCAAAUUAGAGUUUUCUCCCAUGAGGCCAACGAGCUGGUCAUUCUGUUCUCAAAGAUAUACAUCAACUGUUACAUUUCUAGAAAAAAUUGUUAGAGCCGUUUUUGAGAUCAGCGUCCAGGCUCCACAUUCCAUUCUCCAUGAAGUUUUGACUCGAAUAGAGGUAUUGUAAUAAAAACAGAACGAAAUGAAAACCCCGAGCAAAGCCGGGUUCAACUUUAGCUAGUUAAUAAUAAUUUGAUAAAUCUUUUUUUUUUAUUAAUGUAGGCAACGAGUCAGGAGAUGAUCGAAAUAAAUUAAUUUAGCGCGUCCUUGAGUCAACACCACUCUAAUGGGUACUUGACAUAAGUUGGGGAAAAGCAAAAGGGGUUGGUCAUCGUGCUGACCAAUAUGACACCCUCCUAAACCAUGGACCAUAGAACCAGAUGACCAUCUGCUCCUUGUGAUGAAAUUAUCAUUAUAGCGUAAGAUUCCAUCAAUUGUUGACAACAGAACAUAUAAAGUGUCCCGAUAGCCAAAAUAACACUUUUAGUAAGUGAUCCAUUAAACUGAAGAAAAAAAAAUGUUUGUCUUAAUUAACAGAAAACUAAUGGUACCCCAAUGAUCAAUGAACAUAUGAAUUCUAUAAUAUACACUAUGUUUGUUAAAUCUGAGAUGGUAUUUAAGAACCAACUACUAUUUUAAAAGUGCAACAGGUUAUGUGUCUCUUAAGCUAUGCAUAUAGAAAAAUAUUUUAUAACAUUAUAAAUAUUCCCUUUAAUAUUUAUGAUCCUGGAAACCCCUCACCUGUAAAGUCCCAGGGGAAAUAACCCCGACUGUCCUCCCAUAGCCACGUUCAGACCCACACAAACUUACACAACCCCAUUCAGCCCCACAUAUUCACACACACACACACACACACACACAGCAGUCUCACACAUUUGUACACACAUACGUUCAAUCAAAUCAACUAUUGAAACAGAAAUGGCCCAUUCAAUAUUUAUGUCUACAAUACAGGGCAAACUUUGACCUAACACGGGUCAUUGGCCAAGGUCAAUGAGUACAGUUAGUACACCAAAUGUCAUAUCAAGUCAUUUAGGUGACAAAAAGUGGAAUGGUCUCGAGUCACAGUGGCAAAGCAUCCAUGGGGUACAAGAGCUCAACACGACUGGAGCCACGACUAGUAGGACCGUAGGACCCUAGGACCCUGCAUAGGUCAAUGAUAAAAAAAAAGUUUACAAUUUCAAAUGUAGUAUGUUGGAUUUUCACAUAAUUUUGAUCUCAUUCUUUGUUUAUUCAUCGUUCUUAAAUUAUGCUUGUGACAUUAAAAUUAAAGACAGUACCUGCUA
rnacentral:sRNA from 1 species